UUAACUAGGGGGAAGUACUACAAGCUGUCCUCGGGUACUGCCCCUACGUGUGCUUCCCAGGGAUGGGGCCUUGCUAGAGGUGAUUCUGCUGCCCCAGCAUUGGGAAGCAGGACCAGUGCCUGUGUCCCAUGCAGCCACGGUACAUGGAAGCUGUCACCUGAGCCAUCAGACCGGCUCAGCCCAUGUGACUGGAGCUCUGAAGAGGCACACACGCAUGCCCCGCACAGGCUGUUAGCACUUGUUGCCUCGCUGCCCUGGUCCAGAAUACCCUUGCUUGCGUCAGUCAAAACUGUUAUAACUACUUUGAGUCUUUUCUGCAUGAUUACUCUGUGAGAGAGGUUUAACAAGGGAAUUAAAUUUAAAAUAUUCAAAUAUCUAUUUUGUAGUUUAUUACUAGAAGCUGCAGCCACUUACUAAGGUGUAUGUAAUAUAGGACUGUGUGUUGGAAAUGAGUAAUAGAGCUGAAUCACUCCAUUUUCCCUUCCUAAACUUUGAGCUUGGCCUGCCUACAGAGAGAGGAACACAGUAUUAGGGCAGCAAAGGCCCAAGCACCCAGCAAGCCUGUAUGGGUUCUGAGAUGGGUCUAGAUGCAUUCAGACAUCAUUCGGGAAGCAGAGUUGUCCCCGUGUGAUCACAUAUGUCCUCUAUAGUCGCUCUGGCCUGUGACCUUGCAUGCCACUCUGCCUUCUCCCUCCCAGCCCACAGAGCCACUCAGAGGCUGAAGCCACUUCACAUCCCACUGGUGUUGAGAAUCAUGAUCAGAAAAGCACAGAUAUUCAAGGUAUCCAUUGCUAUUUCCUUUUCUCUUAUCUGUGUGGGUGCUUGAAUUUGGUGAAAUGCGUUUAGCAAACCAACUGUGUGUUUGUAAUACUGUGAAUUCUUGAGUUUUGCAUUAAGUGUCUCCCCCAUUUUUGUAAUUUGUAGAGAAAUAUGUGCUGGUGUUGGGUGUCUUCCAAGCAUUUUAUGGAAAUGGAGGCUCCAUUCCUUAGGAGUAAAAGCUGGCGCCAGCACUUGGCUCUUGUUCUGUCUAGGUGAACUCUCAUAAUUCUUGUUUUACCCUGUUGGAUUUGCACUUUACAUAUAUUUUUGCUCUUAUUACUUAAACAUAUAGCAGCUCUUACAAAUAAUGCCUAACAUGCCUGCGCUGAGAAAGUGGCAGAUCUACACAUAUCAUACACAGAGUUGUUCUCUACCUGAUGGGGCAAAACCAACCACAUGCUCUUGGUUCCUCCAAACGAAUGACAUUACUUGACAUUACUGCCUGAAUGUGUCUUCACAAUAGCAAAAUGGUUUGAGAUUAAGCAUUUGGAAUCUUAUGUCAUUUUGUAUGAGGUCAAUCCACCAUAACGUGUUUCUUAUUUGGUUGUUUUAAUUAUUCCAGAAAUCAUAAAGUCACAAAACUGGAAGGGAUCUUCAGAGAUCUAGAGUGUUCCAAGCAGAAAACACAUUAGUUAUACGGGGCAGUUAGAUAUGGCUGAGAUGUAAACAAGAGAAUCUAAAAGAAUGUUCAAGGAAUAGCUGUUUUUGAACAUUACUUAGUAACGGCAUGAGUGGGAGGAGAGACUUUCAGCACCUUGAGACAGGGCGCUCUCUGGAACCAGCUUUGUUCCUCUUAUCGAAAGCAUAUGUGACACUUUUUUUGGCUCCAGCCCUGUGGUGGGGGAGGUAAUUAUUGCCUUCAUCCACAUAAAUUCCUUCCUAUACAUUCCCCUCAGACCACCCCAGAGGCAAAACUGAAAUGGAAAUCCAGCGGCACUUAAAAUUCCCCCUGCCCCAUUUGGCUGCAAUUCCCAGGCUUACAGCACUGCCCUUAUGGAAUAUCACAUUUUCAUUUUCUGAGAUUCAUUUUAUAAGAGUAUAGGCCAGGUGCCAUGGCCCACACCUAGAAUCUGAACACUUUGGGAGGACAAGGUGGGAGGAUUGCUGAGCCCAGGAGUUCAAGACCAGUCUGGGCAACACAGCAAGAUCCUGUCGCUACCAAAAAUUCAAAACUUAGUUGGGUGUGGUGACACACACCUGUAUUCCCAGCUACUCAGGAAGCUGAGGCAGGAGGAUCACUCGAGCCCAGGAAUACAAGGAUGCAGUGAGCUAUGAUUGCACCACUGCAGUCUAGCCUGGGCAGCAGAGCAAGGCCCUGAAUAAAUAAAUAAAAGUAUAAUUUAUUUUUGCCUGAUAUUAAUCACUUCUUAAGGCCAAAAUUUUUGUUUUUAAGCAAAAGGAUAGCUCUAAGUGUGGGUUGCAGUUACUGGACAUAAAUAUUCACUAAAUGAGAUUCCUUUGGUUAUGGCUGUUCGUAGAAUUUUAAUUCUGUGUCAGUGUUCUUGUUCACUAAGAUAUUUGGAAGUGAAAGAAAGCAUUUUACCAAUACAUUCUUAUUUUUUCUCCUUUCAAAUAUUGAAUUUUUCCUGGUACAAACACAGAUAUUAACUUGACUGGAAAACACAGAAAUUAAGUUCAUGUUGAACACUGAGUUAUCUAGAUGAUCCCUGAGAUUUGAAUGUCCAUGUCAACCGUGUUGAGCGCUCACCAGCCACCAGGCUUUAGGUACUGGCAGUGCAAGGUGUCUGAGGCCCAUCCUCAGGCUGGGCAGAGGUCACACAGUGAGUAAAUGGGUCUUUUCAGUGCAAUGUGGUCAUGAUAGAGGCAUGCCAGGGUGCCACUAAUCCAGCAGGUGUGGCAGGAGGGGCUUCACAGAGGAAAGGGACUUUGAGCUCAGUGUUAAAGGACGAGGAGUGAGUCAUAAGGGGGAAAAAUGGAAAUGACUUUCCAGGCUUCAGAAACAGCAUAAACAAAGGCCUGAGAGCUGGAGUCAGUGUGGUGUGUCCAGGGAUCACAAGUGGGCUGGAGCUGCCGGAGAACAGCCAAGUGGCUCAGCUGCCAUCCCGGAACUGAGCUCGUCACUCUCAGAUGCUGCUGCUCCCUGGCCUCAGAGGAAAGCAGCACACAGCUCACCGCCAGGGGUUUCCCCAGAGGCUCCUCCUGCAGCCAAUGCUACUAUUAGUUUAUAUUAUAAUAGUAUCAGUUUCUUUUUCUUUGGAAAUCCCUAGAACUGUUAACUGAAGGUGACCCAGGGUAACUAAUUCUGGAUCUUUGGGUGCACAGCCUCUCACUGGAGUCUGAGAGGAGGAGGUGGAGACUAUUAGUGGACGGCCCACAACCAGGAAGGACUCACAGACUAACGCCAAAGGUGUGCUGGGCUCAGCUGCUCCACUGUGGAAAAGGAAAGCCCUGGCCCUGCGGCAGGAGGGGAUUGUUCUAGUCAAGUGUGGCGUUGCACAGACAGGCGGUGCCGACUGUUUGGGUGCAGACACAGGCAGCUGCUGCCCUCCACUUCCUGCUCUUGCAAGUCACAGAUGAUUCCAGUACAAUGUGGGAGGUCCUCCUUACAGGGGCACUUGCAAGGGGAAGGCAGAGAGUUUCAUCAAUUCAGGUACAGGUCUCUCUGGGAGACCUGGCCCUGUGGAGGCAGGAACACCGUGCAGGGGCAUGGCAGCGCCUGUCUUUGCUGUCACAUCAUUUGCCUUUUCCUUGUAGGACUCAAAGAUCUACUCAGUCCAAAACUGAGUCCAGAAACAUCUGCAUUCCUGUUUAAACUUCAGCUCAGUUUCUUAACCAAGAACCACAUGUCAACCCUCCAGGGUUGUGGUUUGUAUUUUUGCCUUUAAGCAUUAUCUCCUUUCCACCAAGAAGCCUACUUGGGUUUAACACAUGAAAGCAGUGUCUAAAAAUUAGAUUGGUCCUAAAUUGGAAUGGGAUGUCUUCCUUGCAUGUCCCAUACCAGGGAAUUUUUUUAACACACAGUGUAGAGCCUUUGCCAGAGAUGUUGAAAGGGAGAUUAAAGGCUUGAGUGAGGGAUGAAUUUGAUCAUCAUUCUUAAAGUCCCUUCCAAUCCUGUGAUUCUCUGAUUCCCUGAGUCUCGUUUAUUAUUGGACGUGCCUAGCCCAUCACCAGUGACCUGCCCGCAUAUUGCUGGCUUCCCUUGGAUAACGGAGAGCCUAUCACCACAUGCCUUUGUUGUCUUCCAUCGUAUCAAGUGAGUUGCUUUCUGGACUUUUUCCAUCUAGAGCCUGCUAGGUUUGGUUUUGGGAAAAGAUGGUGAAGUUUCUUUUCAUGAGUUUGUAGGGAAAAAAAAAUUCUUUUUAAAGAUGGUAAGGGUGGAAAUUAAUCAUGGUACCAUCUCAUUAAAAAUAGAUACCUCAAAAUGUGUACCUUUACAAGUCAAGAAGAGUAUCGGACUUGCUUGGAAGUGUCAAGAAUUGCAGGUUGGCUGAAAAGUUAGAUUGAGAAUCUGACCUUGUUACUUAGGAUUCUUUUUUCCCUUGGUUCUAGGGGAUGCAUGAGAAGGUGAGCUGUCACUCACAAAAAAAGGGAAAAUGAUUUGAAAAAUGUUUCACAUAUACACACUCUUUUUAUCAUUUUAGUGGAUGGCAGCCUUACGUCAGUAGUAUAUGCCAGUAUGAAGUAUGGACCAAAACACUAGUGUCACUUGUAACCAUUGUACUCUUAUGGAUUUGUGUCUUAUACCAUUUGCCUUGCUUUUUAAAUGACUUUGGUUUUCAAGGUACUGUCAUUUUGCAAAAGGAAAUCUUUAUAUGAAAUGUACAAAAACUGUUACUAACUGGACAACAGGGAAGGUGCUGGCCCCACAUUAGUGCCUGCCUACCACUCUACUUCUAACCAGGGACACGGAUCUUCCAUUCUCUGCAUCCACCGGGCUGCAGCCCACAUCUGGACCUGGCUGCAAUGGGCAUAUUACCAUAUGGAUAUACCUUUUUCUUUCUUUUCUUGAAGUGAGGAGAUUCUUCAGGGGGGUCAGGCUGAGAAUGUAAUAAGCCUGACAUUGGAACAGAUUUCUCCCGUGUGGUCUAGCUGGACCCCUCCAGCAUUUGCCACACUCCCUGCCAGUCCUGACAUUGACUUCCUGAAUGUGACUAGGUGGUAAUGAGCAAGAAUUUCCUAGGAUGUUGAAACGUCUGUAUCCAGGCCCCCAUUCAAAUGCUGCUGAAUAUUGUGAAUGUUUUUACUCCGCUCACUUUCCCACUGUGCUUCCCUCUAACCAAAAUAUACGUGUAGCCAUUACCAAUGUACAACUCUCAAUGCGGAGUUGCCUCCAUGGUUUAAAAUAAAUCU
rnacentral:lncRNA from 1 species